AAGUUAAGCAGAUCCCUGAAAAGGAGCCGAGCACAGAGUGUUCUGACAAUCCAGUAUGUUCUUUGAAGUGUCUGUCUCUAGCAAGGAUGAGACAAAACACCUGUGGAGAGCCUCUAAUCAGAUUUAGCAGGAAGGCCAUAGAUGAGGGACAUGAGGAUCAGACAUACGGACUGCAGCUGCCAGAUGGCGGUACAGAACAUAGCCAGAGUAUGAGACUCCAUCAGGUGUGAAAAAUGAGGUGUCUCUCUUCUUCCUUGUGGAAAGUUCCAGCUUUUGGGGGAAAAAUCCCAAAACCAGAAUAUAUGUUGGUCAAACUCCAGAAGAAAAGAGCAGAAAUACCCUUGUCAUGUCUCAUUCGGAACUUCAAUAACAUGCAGAACCAUCACGGGACCUUUUCCUAAGAUGUAAUUGAACUAAUCACAAACUGGAGGAAGAUAGCCAUAAUACAGCUAUUCAAAGCCAGCUAUUAGUUGCUCACCAACAGGGUUAUAGAAGAUGCGAUUCAUCCCUACAACUGGAGUUCAUCCCA